GCUAUUUUGGCAGAUUAGUGCAAUAGAUUUAGAAUUUAUUUAUGUAAUUUAGAUUACAAAUAGUA
rnacentral:tRNA from 1 species